AAUGAAGUUUUUUGGGUUAGAAUGAGAAAAAAAGUGGUUGAAAAUUGAAUUCUAGAGCUUUAGAGCUCAAAAAUGGUGGUUCAUGGUGGUUGGAAAAAUUGAUGAAGAUGGCAUUUUUGUAAAUAAGAAGAAAUGGUUAGGGUGUAUUUGGUUUUUUGUUAAUUUCGAAAUUAAUAAAAAAAUAAGUAAAAAUGGCAAUUUUGUGAAUAAUUCAAAAACA
rnacentral:lncRNA from 1 species